rnacentral:rRNA from 1 species
AUUGAACGCUGGCGGAAUGCUUUACACAUGCAAGUCGAACGAUGAAGCCUAGCUUGCUAGGUCGACUAGUGGCGAACGGGUGAGUAAUAUAUCGGUACGUAUCCAAUAAUGGGGGAUAACUAGUCGAAAGAUUGGCUAAUACCGCAUACGUCCUACGGGAGAAAGCUGGGGAUCGUAAGACCUGGCGUUAAUGGAGCGGCCGAUAUCUGAUUAGCUAGUUGGUGAGGCAAAGGCUCACCAAGGCGACGAUCAGUAGCUGGUCUGAGAGGAUGACCAGCCAGACUGGAACUGAGACACGGUCCAGACUCCUACGGGAGGCAGCAGUGGGGAAUUUUGGACAAUGGGCGAAAGCCUGAUCCAGCCAUUCCGCGUGAGUGAAGAAGGCCUUCGGGUUGUAAAGCUCUUUCGCAAGGGAAGAACACUUACUUAAUAACACUAAGUGAGGUUGACGGUACCUUGAUAAGAAGCACCGGCUAACUACGUGCCAGCCGCCGCAGUAACAC